AAUGGGGCACGUGCGGGUAGAGGAACCCUCACAAUCUGAUGCGUUCCUGGGCAGGGCCUGCGCUCGGAGCUGUGACCUGCUGCAUCUGCGUGCUGUGCUCACCUGCUGCAUCUUCAUGAUACUGAGGCACAUGAAACAUUCUGCAGGACAGCAAAGCAUGUUGUUAUUCAUCUCCCUCUUAAGACUGAAAUAAACCCCUGCUCAUGAAGACCCCAUAAUUUACCAUCAGUGUGGUUCAAGGGGAAGCAUUGCUGGGUGAACAAGCUCAAGCUUUCUAUUUAAGGCCUGAGAUGAAGCUUAUUAACGAAUGAAGUUGACUGAAGCCAGUCAUCUACAGCCAGUGAGAGAGAGACACGUAGUUGCUUUCGUGGUGAUGAGACCCACAUCUCUGGAGGACAGCAUAUCCAGUCAUCACAUCAUGUUUAAGACAGAAGUUUCUCUCUCUGAUGCUCAGCACAAAGACAACCUCGAUCUCUAGCUUCACUUAGGCUUGUAACUUUUAGAUCAUUGCAUCUAAAUUACAUCCCAUCGCAAGUGCUAGACUAUCCCCUUGGCUUGAAAUGGCCUCUACAAAUCUUUCCAUCUAAUAAUGGACUGAAAUACAAAAUAGCUUAUCCAAACUGCUCUUCACACAACUUGUUUUUAGAACUCCUCAUUAAUUACAAUUGGGUAUAUUUGUUAGAAAAGGGAGGAUUUUAUUUCACCUGCAUUGUUUUUCUUUGGGGGUAGGAGAUAUAUCCCAUAGUGAGAUGGGUUCUUCACACUCGUGGUCUUGAAGGGUGCUUGAGGAACCAGUUUGGCCUCUGGCAAACCAUGUCAUUUUUGUACCAUUUGUGAUUAAAUGAACUCCGUGUGCUGCUCUGCUCUCCCUGUCUUUCCUUCCCUUUCUGGAGUGUCACUGUAGCGGCUGCCUCAGCAGAGGGGCAGGGACAGUGGCUGUGAGUUACCAACUCUGGUUUAGCGCUGCUCUGGGAUUUUUUUCCCUUGGGGGAUUCCUCAACUGCCCUGUUCUAGAGGUGGUGAUGCACAGGGGAAGGACAGGGAUCUCGUCCUGGGAGGAAUGCAGUUUGCACUGCUGCUGGACUAGAAAACAAUACUUUAAAAAUUUUAUUUUUGUUCUUUAACGUGAUCCAUUCUUUUAAAAAAUUUGUAGGAAAAUAUGCUUCCCUUUAAUUUCCAAGAAGAGUGCUUUUUUUUUUCUUUGAAAUAGAGUGAGUAAUGUUUCAGCUUUAAUAAAAGUAACUCUUUCUGAUGUACUUUUUCAUUCUUACAUAUAUGUGCUUAAAGUUUCAACUUAGUGUUCUUAU